rnacentral:rRNA from 1 species
GAUGAACGCUGGCGGCGUGCCUAAUACAUGCAAGUCGAGCGAACAGACGAGGAGCUUGCUCCUCUGACGUUAGCGGCGGACGGGGGAGUAACACGUGGAUAACCUACCUAUAAGACUGGGAUAACUUCGGGAAACCGGAGCUAAUACCGGAUAAUAUAUUGAACCGCAUGGUUCAAUAGUGAAAGACGGUUUUGCUUUCACUUAUAGAUGGAUCCGCGCCGCAUUAGCUAGUUGGUAAGGUAACGGCUUACCAAGGCAACGAUGCGUAGCCGACCUGAGAGGGUGAUCGGCCACACUGGAACUGAGACACGGUCCAGACUCCUACGGGAGGCAGCAGUAGGGAAUCUUCCGCAAUGGGCGAAAGCUUGACGGAGCAACGCCGCGUGAGUGAUGAAGGUCUUCGGAUCGUAAAACUCUGUUAUUAGGGAAGAACAAAUGUGUAAGUAACUAUGCACGUCUUGACGGUACCUAAUCAGAAAGCCACGGCUAACUACGUG